rnacentral:rRNA from 1 species
GGAUCAAUAUAUCGGUCAUGCUUAGGUAUGUACUGGUAUUAUUGAUUUCUCCCUUCUGAAGAACCAUGAUGUCAUUUAUUUGAUGUCGUGGGGAAUCAGGACUGUUACUUUGAAAAAAUUAGAGUGUUUAAAGCAGGCAUACGCUUGAAUACAUUAGCAUGGAAUAAUGAAAUAGGACGUUUGAUUCUAUUUUGUUGGUUUCUAGGAUCGACGUAAU